GACGAACGCUGGCGGCGUGCUUAACACAUGCAAGUCGAACGGAAAGGCCCCUUUGGGGGUACUCGAGUGGCGAACGGGUGAGUAACACGUGAGUAACCUGCCCUUGACUUCGGGAUAACUUCAGGAAACUGGGGCUAAUACCGGAUAGGAAUCCUUGCUGCAUGGUGGGGGUUGGAAAGCUUCGGCGGUUUUGGAUGGACUCGCGGCUUAUCAGCUUGUUGGUGGGGUAGUGGCUUACCAAGGCUUUGACGGGUAGCCGGCCUGAGAGGGCGACCGGCCACAUUGGGACUGAGAGACGGCCCAGACGCCGACGGGUGGCAGCAGGGGGGAAUAUUGCACAAGGGGCGGAAGCCUGAUGCAGCAACGCCGCGUGCGGGAUGACGGCCUUGGGGUUGUAAACCGCUUUCAGCAGGGGCGAAGCUUGUGGUGACGGUACCUGCAGAAGAAGCACCGGCUAACUACGUG
rnacentral:rRNA from 1 species